rnacentral:lncRNA from 1 species
GGUUGUCCCUACUUUUAAGAUAUGCUCAAUUUGCCGAACAAUAAUCAUGCUCUUUUAUCAUUGUUUGAGUAAAUCUCUAUAAUGCUAUCAUGUCACCUUUGUUUGCUGUAGUAUAUGUUUAGGUUUGGAGUAGCUUCACUCAUCUCUUAAAUGAAGCAUGGUGCCUAGUUUAGGAGCGGUGAUCUUACAUUCAAAGGCUUUUUAAAUUAAGCGUGGUGCUUAGGUUAAAAUGCCCUCCUAAGUCAAAUUAGACGUGGUGUCUAGGUUGAGUUUUGAGCCGAUAGUAUGUUGUAGUAGAUAUUGGAAUAUUUUGUUAGACUAACCCCUGCACGAAAACUUCCAAAUUCAAAUUGGGAAAGUCUUGAGAUGAACUCACACUGGAGAUGAAGAGAUACAAUAAUUUUGCACAAGGAAGAUACAACUCACUCGUAGCCAAGAAGAAAGAAGGGUGCACAAAACAUGUUCCACAAUCAAAGCACUCCCACUUCUACGGUCAAGAGGCUGAGACAUGAGGAAGAAAGGUCAAACUUCUCUAGUUAGUCCAACACACUGGUUUUUAAUCUCUAAACAUACUAUUACUUUAUUUCUAUAAGUUUGAGCUGAUUCAUAAUGCCUAUAUUUGAGAAUCAAUACAUAAGAUGGGAAAAUAAAUUCAAACCCUUAGAAAGAAGUAAUUGUGAAUAAUAAAAGCGCUAUGCUAAGUAUGCUCAAGUAAAUUCCUUUUUGUAGCAUAGAAACCUUAGCUGUGUUACAACAAUACCCUUAUCAUUACUUGUAUAUUCCUUCAGGUAUAUGUUGUCCACUAAUCUGUUGCAGGCAUGAUAAUGACUGGAGUGAAAAGAGUCAACAGGCUAAAGAAGCAAAAGAUGGCAAAAGAAUGAGUGCAACAGAGGAGAUAAGAUGUCUAUGAACAACUCAAGAUGCAAGAGGAAGGACCACUAGUCAUUUACCCUCCAUCAGUUAGUGCCAUCAUGCUCUAAUAAUGAAGGUAAUAUUCUAAGGUAAGUGGUCACUCUCUUCUCUUGAUCUUGGUGUGCACAUAAGUGAAGACACAAACAUAUUAGAGUUACAACUUAAAUUGAUCAACCUGGUUAACUCAAUAUGCUUUUCUCUUUUAAAUUGUUCAUGGCACCAUUCUCUUAAUCUCAGUCUUAACCAAAGAAGUUAGAACAUUAUAUUCAAUCUUGGGAAGAUGAUAGUCAUACUUAUUUGAAAAUUUAUAUAGAAAUAGAUAAUCCUUCCAUUGGUUAAGCAAUUUCAUUCUUUUCUGUCAUGUGAACUUAAAUGCAAUAUUAAAUGCUUAAUCUUUUGAUCUUACCACUCAUAAAUAAAUAAAUCAUGUAACAUAGCUUUAUCUUGUUUAAUGUGCCUAAGGAUAAAGAAAAAUAAAUAAAUAAAUAAAUUUGGUUUUGUUGGUGUUUUUCCACCAGCAGAACCCAUGCACUUGAUCUCUACCUUAGUUUUGCAAAUAGGACAACACGUCAAGCAAAGUUUAUUAAUUCUACAAGUGAAAGUUCUGUGAGUAUGCACACUGAGCAAGAUGAUGCCAGCUCCUAUUAAAGCUCUACUUCAACCUGCUGAUGAAAUCAAAGAACAAAAGUGACAUUACCAUCACUAGAGGUAUGCAACCAUCAAAACCUCCAUCUCUCAAUAUGGAGAGAUACACAAGAGUGGAAGAAGGCACGUGCGGCAUUACCAUGGAACGGGGAGUUGACUGAGGUUACCUCAGACAAUGAACCCACUGAGUAAGUGUUCUCUUCUAUUCAAGUCCUGUCGGUAGACUUUAAAAUUCCAUACCCUAGCCAUAAGGUUAGAAUGGUAGUUAUCUCAUUAAAUGCAUUUGCAAUUUAUUUAGUAGCAUAUUUGUUUACACACUAAAAGAUAGAAAAACAACAAAAAAAUUAUUUACUGCAUUACUCAUGGCAUCACAAGCCCCAGGUGGAUACCCUAUGGUAUUUUCCAAAGGAACAUCGCCUGUGGUGGCAUAAAAUAAAAAUGACAAAAAUAUAGCAUUUAAAUUCCUGCAUCAUAAAUAGAAAAUUCAAAAAAAUAAGAGAAAAUUGAAAUCCUGUUCAAAUUAGAAAACAUUAAGCUAGCUCUUAAAGGUGGUCAAUUACUCUUUGGCUGACCGCUAACCUCUUAUUAAAUUCGAGCCUCAUGUUUUGGUUUUCUUUUUGAAGUGUAAUUAUGGAGGAAUAACAUUAUGACAUGGAGAGAGUCUACUAGUGGCACCCAUCUAGAGCGCUACCGGUUAGCUCACUCUGAAGAUCAUCAACACCAACUAUGGAAAACAUCUAGCUUGGGGGAGGAGCAUCCCCUAGUUAUCAGGUAACUAUACCUAAGCGAUUAUCGAGUCUAUUUUAUAUAGUCAUAAAAUACCAAAAAUAUGUGAGCACAUGAAGGUUCAUAAUAGUAUCAUAAGAAAAUAUAAAAAAAAUUAACAAAAAUAUAUGGGCACAUGAAGGUCCAUGUCUUUAGAGUCUCCUGAGUCUAAUAGAAAUGAAUAAAAAACCAAACAAAAUACGUAUCCAUAUAUUAAAGUGUGAUCAUAGAGUGUGUCUACAGUAAUUCUAGUUUAGAGUCAAAUAAAAAUUAGAGAAUUUUAAAAAUUUUGUCUUGGAGAUGAUGAAUAGUUGCUCUGCAGUAAUUCCUUUCAAGUGCCUAGUUUUCAACCAUGAAUUCUUCGGAGUUUUAGACAUUACCACUUUAAGAGUUUACUCUGAACCUAAAAUUUGUGGAGGCAUAUGUUUAAGCUGAGUCUAGGUGAUUAAUUGAUAUUAUACAUGAAGGUCUAAGCUGAUAUUUAUCUUAUUCCUAGCACUACUAAGUUCUGGAGAUUUAUUUUCAAAAAAACCCAAAAAUCUUACAUGAUAAGCUCUUGUAUGAUAAAGUUUUAAUUCCUACCAAAGCCAUAUAUGAUACAUUUAGAGUUAGGAAAACUUUUGCGCAUACAUGCUGCUUGCUUUACAUUGAGUUUAGUUAACCUUUGGAGUAUACUUAUGAGAGUCUUGUCAUGCUUUUAAAAUUAAGAUCACUUAUGCACUCCAACCACAUAUGCAUUACUCCUACUCUAGGAUGUAAGCACAAUCAUUUUCACCUUCAUCCAGAUCCACCUUAAAAAUGUUCUUUCUCCUACACUAGGAGUAAACACCCAAAAAUAUACCCUAUAGGACAGCCCCCAUUUAAUUGCUCUAAGUUCUUAUCAUUAUCUCUCCAAUUAUUUUCAUUCAAAGGAUGCAUGUGACUAUGCAAAAGUAUAAAAAAAAGAAAGAAAAAAAGGGGAGUAAAAGAUGGACAAGUGUCCCAGCAAUUAAAACAAUGGGUACAUCGAUGCCCGCCUCCCACAGUAAUGAAAAAAAAAGAGAAUAAAGAUAGCCCAUGGUUUCAUGCGAAAAGUUCUAAGUUUUAAAGGAGGAAGUAAUUUUCAAAGAGCAAAAGUAGAAAUAGGAUCAGCCACUAAAUACUAUAUAUGCACCUAUCCACCAUAUUCCAUACACACGCACAUUUGGUUGUAUGCCUUAACUCUCUAUGGAUCCAUUGUUUGACUUUACAAUAUAUGAAAUGCAAGUAUGUUCAUCCUUGUUAUUGCCACUCCUAUAAGCUCCACUAUAUAUAUCCUUAGUUGUAGGAAGGCAUAACCUCAUUAAUGCCUCAAUGAGAUCCAUAAAUACUAUAUAAUAAUAGACUUGAGGGUGUCAUACAAUUAAGCUCUAAGUUUUAUUUCGAAAACUUGCAAAACUCCAAAAUAUUGGUACUGUGAAGAAUUUGAGACAUAGUGCCCGACUUGAUUGUUUUAUCAUUCAAUUACUCAAGACUUAUGCGAAAACUGUAAAGCUCCAUGGUUAAAGGUAAAAUGGGUAAGUUUGAAAGAUAGAUCGGAGGAAGAUUUAUGUUUAAAAGCAAGUGUACUUAAAAGAAAUGAAGUACAACUCCUGAUCCAAGUUUAUUAAUUAGGCUUGGGUUGUUUGCCAAGGGACUAGUAAAAGGUAACCUUGGGGGAAUUGUUGACGGUCAAUAACAUCAAGUUUUAUUAGAACUUUAAACCCCAAGGAGAACAUGAAUACACACUAGUAUAGGGUUUAAACUAACAAUUUCCAUGAGUUUUGCACAUUCUGUGUUUUCCAGGGUGUUGGGCAUUCUUAACGUCAUUACCAAAAGUAGACUUAGUUUUCUAUUUCUGAUAAUGGCGCCAAAAAUGUUGGACCUAUCCCUCAUGCCACUUAAGCCAAGUUGUCAUCCCCAGCAUGACAUGAGAGACGCGAUAUUAAAAUAUGCAAUUACUCUUCUGAAUAAAUAAUGAAUGGGAUCUGCAAGCGCACAGAUUAAUACCGAUGUAGCAUUUUAACCGAGAAGUAUUCUAGGUAUCAUUUUUAUAUUUUUACCACUGGGAAGGGAUUACUAACACCAAUGUUGAUUGUGGAAUGAAAUACGGAACUGAGUAUCAUUGCAUGUGUAAUAGAGAGCAUUCAUCUAUCUCUUACAUACAGGGAUAAAUGUCACAUAAAAUAUAGAUAAAGUAUGAAUGGUGACAAAGAUAACUAAUCUGAUCACCAUAACUAGCCACAUAUGAUAAUGAUAAGCACCUCAACAGAUAUUCUAGCAAGUCAUUAGCAUAGAAUUAGGAUGAACUACAAAAAUAUUUCCUAAGUUAUUCUUAUCUAUAAAGUCUAGCAUAUCAUAAUUAGUGCAAUUAUACUUGGCAAUCAUUGCGAGACAGGAUUAUGCCCAUGCAUAGUGAUAUUAUUAAGGAAGAUGAAAAACAUAGCAAUCACUCCCCUGUAAUAAUGUUGCUCUACCUGCCCUAUACAUGGGAGGGGGACUAUAUAAGAAUCAAUGGAGCUGUCACCACCGCGAACUACCCCGCUAUCCGGCAUAUAGGGUACAAUCGCAGAUAAAUACGGUAUAGGCACCACGCCUACACAAUACUUAUCAUUUACCCAUG